AGCCCCUCCUAUGGCAUCUCCUUCAGGAUCUGUGGGUCCCUGAGUUGUGGAAAGCCGCCCAGCCUUCUGAGCUGGGGGCCCGCAGGGUUAGCUCUGGUUGCUCUGGGCACUUGUGGGAGAGCAGGGUCAGAGCGGAGGGCAGCAGUUGGGGGCUGAAUGAUGGUGCCCACUCCUGCACACCCCGCGGUGGGCGAGGCCGCCCCUGCCUCCCUCUCCAAGGAGCCGACCACGAAGUCCGAGAAGCAGAGAGGGGAGAUGGGGAGGGAAUGGCAGUGGGGCUGCAGGGCACGCUCGGGUCAGCACUAACCGCUGGUGUAAAGGGACGAGUGGCCACUUCUGGCGGAACAACAGGCGGCGGUGGAAGGCAGCGCUCAGGCCGUCAGCGGGCCUGCGGGGGACGCACUCACCGAGGACCAGCAGCACUUUCCAGCUAGGCGCCCGAUGCGCACGGCAGAGCUCAGGGUCCGGCAGCGCCUCAAAGGCCUGCACCCGGGGCUCUGGCCCCGCCCGAGUACACGUGCGCCCUGGCCCCGCCCCUCGCUCAACCACCGCGCUUCCCGUGGACCCUGAUGCGGUGAUCUCAGGAGACCCCCAGCUGCUGCGGUUCCUGGCUGAGUGAGGCCAGGCCCUCAGGCUCCAGCAUGGCCCUGCAAGACCACUGCUGCACCCCUGCGGCUGUGCAGAGGAGGCUGCCCAUCCUGGCCUGGCGGUUGGACUCUGAAGAUGGACUUCAUCACUGGACUUUCAGUGGGGCUCAAGGUCAUUCCCCACGCACUGGCCUGUGCUGAGGUGACCUGACUCCUGCCCCAGGUGGCACCUGUGGCCCCACUUGGGUGCGGGUAGAAAAGAGGUCCCCUCAUCACAGCAGGUCACACUCAUGGAUGAUCGAGGGUGAGUGGUUACCCUGCCUGUGUGCGCUGGUGUGCCCAAAGUACACAGUGGACACCGUAGACCCCUGUGCUCAGAUGUCUACACCAGGGGCACCAUGGGUGUGCCGUGUGCCUCCUGGGUGCUCAUCACUCUCUCCCCAACAGUGUGGCUUCUACUCUGCCUUCAUGGGUGCUUCGUGUAGUUCUUCCUGGUCACCUUCUGGCAUGUUACCCU
rnacentral:lncRNA from 1 species